GGCCAGUAACUGACGCUGAGGUGCGAAAGCUGGGGGAGCGAACCGGAUUAGAUACCCGGGUAGUCCCAGCCGUAAACGCUGAAUGCUAGGUGUUCGCAGUGCGAGCUGUGAGUGCCGCAGUUAACGCGAUAAGGCAUUCCGCCUGGGGAGUACGACCGCAAGGUUGAAACUCAAAAGAAUUGACGGGGGCCCGCACAAGCGGUGGAGCACGUGGUUUAAUUCGAUGCAAACCGAAGAACCUUACCUGGGUUUGACAUGUACGUGUUACGGAUCUGAAAGGUGAAGGACCCUUGCUUCGGUAAGGGAGCGUACACAGGUGCUGCAUGGCUGUCGUCAGCUCGUGUCGUGAGAUGUUGGGUUAAGUCCCGCAACGAGCGCAACCCCUACGCUGAGUUACCAGCAUUUCGGAUGGGGACUCUCAGUGGACUGCCAGCGACAAGCUGGAGGAAGGUGGGGACGACGUCAAGUCAUCAUGGCCCUUAUGUCCAGGGCUACACACGUGCUACAAUGGCCGGCACAACGAGAAGCGACCCCGCGAGGGCAAGCGGAUCUCCCAAAGCCGGUCCCAGUUCGGAUUGCAGUCUGCAACUCGAGUGCAUGAAGCUGGAAUCGCUAGUAAUCGUGGAUCAGCCAAGCCGCGGUGAAUGCGUUCCCGGGCCUUGUACACACCGCCCGUCACACCAUCCGAGUUGGGUGCACCCGAAGCCAGUGGCCUAACCCGCCAGCCGGCGGGGAGGAGCUGUCGAAGGUGUGUCUGGUAAGGAGGGUGAA
rnacentral:rRNA from 1 species